rnacentral:rRNA from 1 species
UACGUAGGUGACAAGCGUUGUCCGGAUUUACUGGGCGUAAAGAGCUCGUAGGCGGCUUGGCAAGUCGGGUGUGAAAACUCCAGGCUCAACCUGGAGAUGCCACCCGAUACUGCUAUGGCUUGAGUUCGGUAGGGGACCACGGAAUUCCUGGUGUAGCGGUGAAAUGCGUAGAUAUCUGGAGGAACACCGGUGGCGAAGGCGGCAUCCUGGACCGAGAUUGACGCUGAGGCGCGAAAGCCAGGGGAGCAAACGGG